rnacentral:rRNA from 1 species
GAUGAACGCUGGCGGCGUGCCUAUACAUGCAAGUCGAACGAACUAAUUUAUUAGUGAGUGGCGAACGGGUGAGUAAUACAUAAGUAACCUGCCCUAGACAGGGGGAUAACUACUGGAAACGGUAGCUAAAACCGCAUAGGUAUGGGAAUCGCAUGAUUGCCAUAUUAAAAGUGCUAAGGCACUGGUAGAGGAUGGACUUAUGGCGCAUUAGCUAGUUGGUAGGGUAAAGGCUUACCAAGGCGACGAUGCGUAGCCGACCUGAGAGGGUGACCGGCCACAUUGGGACUGAGACACUGCCCAAACUCCUACGGGAGGCAGCAGUGGGGAAUAUUGCACAAUGGGGGAAACCCUGAUGCAGCGACGCCGCGUGAAGGAAGAAGUAUUUCGGUAUGUAAACUUCUAUCAGCAAGGAAGAAAAUGACGGUACUUGACUAAGAAGCCCCGGCUAACUACGUGCCAGCCGCCGCCGUAAAAC